AUGAACGCUGGCGGCGUGCCUAAUACCUGCAAGUCGAACGAAACUUCUUUAUCACCGAGUGCUUGCACUCACCGAUAAAGAGUUGAGUGGCGAACGGGUGAGUAACACGUGGGCAACCUGCCCAAAAGAGGGGGAUGACACUUGGAAACAGGUGCUAAUACCGCAUAACCAUAGUUACCGCAUGGUAACUAUGUAAAAGGUGGCUAUACUACCGCUUUUGGAUGGGCCCGCGGCGCAUUAGCUAGUUGGUAGGGUAAAGGCUUACCAAGGCAAUGAUGCGUAGCCGAAUUGAGAGGUUGAUCGGCCACAUUGGGACUGAGACACGGCCCAAACUCCUACGGGAGGCAGCAGUAGGGAAUCUUCCACAAUGGGCGAAAGCCUGAUGGAGCAACGCCGCGUGGGUGAAGAAGGUCUUCGGAUCGUAAAACCCUGUUGUUAGAGAAGAAAGUGCGUGAGAGUAACUGUUCACGUUUCGACGGUAUCUAACCAGAAAGCCACUGCUAACUACGUG
rnacentral:rRNA from 1 species